UCGAGAAUAAUUCACAAUGGGGGAAACCCUGAUGGUGCAACGCCGCGUGGAGGAUGAAGGUCUUCGGAUUGUAAACUCCUGUCAUCUGGGAGUAAGACCUGGCGGUAAAUAGCCGACAGGGUUGAUAGUACCAGAAGAGGAAGGGACGGCUAACUUCGUGCCAGCAGCCGCGGUAAUACGAAGGUCCCAAGCGUUGUUCGGAAUCACUGGGCGUAAAGGGAGCGUAGGCGGCGUGGUAAGUCAGAUGUGAAAUCCCGGGGCUCAACCCCGGAACUGCAUCCGAUACUGCCAUGCUUGAGGGUUGGAGAGGUAGCUGGAAUUCUCGGUGUAGCAGUGAAAUGCGUGGAUAUCGAGAGGAACACUCGUGGCGAAGGCGAGCUACUGGACAACAUCUGACGCUGAGGCUCGAAGGCUAGGGGAGCAAAAG
rnacentral:rRNA from 1 species